CAUAGGCAGGCCAGGCACAAUCCCUAAUCUCUUCCCCAGAAAUCUCGUCUCUACAUUGCUCCCGUACUGUCGCGUCUUCGCCAAAAAUCUCUCUCCGCAUCCGCCCAUUGACCUCAGAUUUAGUCCAGCCAGCACCGCCAGCCCCACUCUGCGGCAGUCUGCACGCCAUGGAUCCCAGUAACAUGUACGCGUCGUUCCCAUCUGCAUCCCCUGUCGACGGGGCCGUCGCGUAGUCCCCCGUCUUCUUCCAAUGGGGGCGCCACGAAUCGACGAUGCGUGAGGGGUUCGCGAGGGCGCUGGUGCCCUGCUACCCAAUUGUGGGCCGCAUCGCGCAGGCGUGCCCGGGCGAUCUCGUGGUGGACUUCACCAGCGAGCGGCGAGGGCAUCUGGUUCGUGGAGGUCAUCGCGAGCUGCUAGCUCGCGGACGUCAACGGCGUCGAGCGCCGGCUGCUCAUCCACAAGGCGGAGCUGAUCCCCACCUUUCCCCGAGGAGAACCUUGAGGACCUCAUCCUCAUGACCCAGCUGUACCGUUGGAUUGGCUCUGUGUUUGGAGCACUGGGCAGAGUUAUGCUAUGCAUCACCGUUCUGUCUCAAGCGGGUGCUCCUGAAAAGACGCCGGUGCCAAGUAGACGGAGUGAGGAUAUGAAGGUGCUCCUAAGAAGACACCAACGCCGAGCAACGGGAGCAAGGAUAUGCUGGUGGCCAUGGGAAUACACCGCUGCCGAGCUGCGGGAGUGAGGAUAUACUUUUUUUGAACCUGCAAUGGCCAAAAUCGAUGGUGAGCAUGAUAUAUAAUUAUGGGAGAGAGAUACACGUGGGUGGUCCCAGGAGGGAAAAGUGGAAAGAGAGUAUCACAUGGAGGAAACUGCACAGCCGGUUGUGAAGCAAAAGUUCCUGUGGAGCCUCCACUGGUUGAAGCGGGGCAACCGGCUCUACCCGGUGCCAAUCGGGAGCACGUGGGGGGCAGAAGCUAGUCAAACUGGGCCCUUGAGGGCUGUCAAAUCGAGUUUUUCAGGGUCUUGGUGAGGCUUUUCAGGGUCUAGAAAAGCCCACUUUGAACCCAGAUGCAUGUAUGGCCACCAAUGAGCCACGUAUGCUAGAAUAAAUGCUACUGUAGGUAAUUAUGCUAUCUACAGUGCUUGAAACGCUCAGGGAGCGUGAAACAGUCCAUCCUUUAUAUAGGGUAUAAUUCCUUGCAAAGGGUUAGACCUCUUGGAAAAAAAAUUAUGUGUCUAUGACAACUAUGACAUGUAUGCAAUGUCUAUAGAGAUUUCAUGUGUUUUUCCUAUAGUGCAAUCAAAAGACUUCCGCAACUAA